GAGUUGACCAAUUCUGCAAAAAAUCUUAAUUUUGGAAACUCUCAUCAUCAAAUCACGAACAAAUCAAGAUUUUGUGUAAAUAUGACAUGAAAAACAAAGUAAAAUGAUGAAAAUUGGUUAAGAAGAGAAUAGCCGUAGUUUGUGGUUACAUAAGUAAAAUCCCUAAUGUAGAAUAACGUAGAUGACUUAAAAAACUACAUUUAAUUUUUUUUUGAUAAAAAUGAAAAACCCUACUAAACUGGAGUCGGACCCGUACUGGGUCAAGAAAUAAGACGAGCCUAAACCAAUACACCAACUUAUCCUUAUGAUCUAUACUAUUAAAACAUAAGGUCUUUUUUAAGGUGCCUUUCUGUUUCAAUAAUAUUUACAGAUCUUUGCCACCGAUUAAUUUUAAACUAUGCAUUUUAAUUAUUUUUAUUAUUCACGAAAUCCUUUUAUUCCAACAAACAAUAUAUUUCCGUUUUUCUCUAUCCCUUUCAACUAAAUAAUUUUUGACAUAAUUAAAAAAUUUUGUGAUCUGGAACAAGAGAUCAUCGCAGAUUUGCGGAUUUCAAGUUAAGCGUUUUGUAAGAGGUGAUUACGAAGGUGAUUUGUCUUAGGGUUCGGAGAAGUGGAUGAAGGUUUUGCGACUUGAUUUUCAUCUUGCUAGAAAACCCUUUAGUGGCUUCUCUAAUGGUGGUUCUGAAUUCAAGAUGGAGACGUUGAUCCCUGCUGCACUAACAAGUUUCAAGUUCACAAAAAAAAAUCAAAAGAGAGGGAAGAUUAAGCACUGACUGAUUAACAUAAAUAUAUCUGUCUUUUUAUUUAUCCGAGAACUCCUUUGUGGUUUUGUUGACAUUUGGUCGGUGUUGGUGAUUUGUAGGGUCUGGGUUUGAAGAAUCUUGGGAAUACAUAUUUUCUGAAUUAUGUAUCGCAAUUUUAGACAUACACUGAGUGCUUAGAUGCUUACUUUCUAGAUGUUGGCAAUGUGAAACGCUGUAUGUUGCAUUUAUAAGCUGGUUUGAUUAAUUGCUUGGCUUGGUGGGUCUUUUAUUCAGUGUCUAAUUGGAUGUUCUCAUGAAAACGUUUGUGUAGUCCAUGUGACUGGGUUUUGUGCUUUAUGUGCAAUUCAGAGGCAUGUUAGGACGGCUCUUUAAGCUCCUGGCAGAAUAGCAGCACCAAGUCUCAAACUUAGGAGGUACACUUUUGUAAUAUUUUGUAAAAUAAAUACGUAAGAUAAUCAUAUCUUUCUGGAAAGAGAUGCUCUUCACGGCGAUACUAUAAAUUGUACAUCUAUGCGUUAUGUACGUCAGUACUGUUCUCAUCCAGAGCUCAUAGAUUUCACCUUUGGCAAGAGAUCUCUGUCCUUGCAGGAUCUUCUUUGAGGAAUGAGAUGUGUCAUUGUCAAAAAGGCCGAAAUGAUGAAAACAAUGAUUUUCACAAAAAUUCCAUUGGAUGUCGAUCAUAUGCUUUAAUUGGAGGAUAACAAUCAAUAAACACCUCAGCUUUUGUCUAUCAUUUUCAUAAGGUUUUUUUGUUUCACUCAUAUAUUUCUGUACCUCUCAGCUUUCCUGAUGUUAAAGAGCAUGAAACUUCAGCAGUUGAUUACACAGCAGGGGACAUGAUCUUUUUUACUGUGAUUCCCCAUGCCUCCAAGGCUCUAUCUGCAGUAGAAGAGAGUGAUAGGACAUGAAAUGCCAUGAAAAGAGGAUGACAAAGAAGAUGAGCAUGAUGAAGAACAUUUUCACUAACCUGGGGUAGAACUAAAUUAUAAACAUCAUAGAGUUUUACCUCUAUUAACUGAGCCGUGGAAAAGUCUGUAAACAUGAACAUGUUUGGUUUGACCAAUUCGGUGACAUUUGUCCAUGGCUUGUAAGGCCAUUCGAGAGUUUUGAAUCAGGAACCCCACAGGAAAAAAAAAUUUAUUAAUAAAAUUUUCUAAAUAACAAAGUUUCCUAAAACUA